GGAGGGGGCAAGCGUUGUUCGGAAUUACUGGGCGUAAAGGGCGCGUAGGCGGAAGAUCAAGUCAGGGGUGAAAGGCCUGGGCUCAACCCGGGAACUGCCUUUGAAACUGGUUUUCUAGAGUGCGGGAGAGGAUGGCGGAAUUCCCAGUGUAGAGGUGAAAUUCGUAGAUAUUGGGAAGAACACCGGUGGCGAAGGCGGCCAUCUGGCCCGGCACUGACGCUAAGGCGCGAAAGCGUGGGGAGCAAACAGGAUUAGAUACCCUGGUAGUCCACGCCGUAAACGAUGUGUGCUAGCCGUUGGGGGCUUCAGGCCCUCGGUGGCGCAGCUAACGCGUUAAGCACACCGCCUGGGGAGUACGGCCGCAAGGUUAA
rnacentral:rRNA from 1 species